CGGACGGGUGAGUAAUGUCUGGGAAACUGCCUGAUGGAGGGGGAUAACUACUGGAAACGGUAGCUAAUACCGCAUAACGUCGCAAGACCAAAGAGGGGGACCUUCGGGCCUCUUGCCAUCAGAUGUGCCCAGAUGGGAUUAGCUAGUAGGUGGGGUAACGGCUCACCAAGGCGACGAUGCGUAGCCGACCUGAGAGGGUGAUCGGCCACAUUGGGACUGAGACACGGCCCAGACUCCUACGGGAGGCAGCAUG
rnacentral:rRNA from 1 species